rnacentral:rRNA from 1 species
AACGAACGCUGGCGGCAUGCCUAACACAUGCAAGUCGAACGGCAGCACGGGAGCAAUCCUGGUGGCGAGUGGCGAACGGGUGAGUAAUAUAUCGGAACGUGCCCAGUCGUGGGGAUAACGCAGCGAAAGUUGCGCUAAUACCGCAUACGAUCUACGGAUGAAAGUGGGGGAUCGCAAGACCUCAUGCUCAUGGAGCGGCCGAUAUCAGAUUAGGUAGUUGGUGAGGUAAAGGCUCACCAAGGCGACGAUCCUUAGCUGGUCUGAGAGGAUGAUCAGCCACACUGGGACUGAGACACGGCCCAGACUCCUACGGGAGGCAGCAGUGGGGAAUAUUGGACAAUGGGCGAAAGCCUGAUCCAGCAAUGCCGCGUGAGUGAUGAAGGCCUUCGGUUG